rnacentral:rRNA from 1 species
GUCAGCACGGGUACUUGUACCUGGUGGCGAGCGGCGGACGGGUGAGUAAUGCCUAGGAAUCUGCCUGGUAGUGGGGGAUAACGCUCGGAAACGGACGCUAAUACCGCAUACGUCCUACGGGAGAAAGCAGGGGACCUUCGGGCCUUGCGCUAUCAGAUGAGCCUAGGUCGGAUUAGCUAGUUGGUGAGGUAAUGGCUCACCAAGGCGACGAUCCGUAACUGGUCUGAGAGGAUGAUCAGUCACACUGGAACUGAGACACGGUCCAGACUCCUACGGGAGGCAGCAGUGGGGAAUAUUGGACAAUGGGCGAAAGCCUGAUCCAGCCAUGCCGCGUGUGUGAAGAAGGUCUUCGGAUUGUAAAGCACUUUAAGUUGGGAGGAAGGGCAUUUACCUAAUACGUGAGUGUUUUGACGUUACCGACAGAAUAAGCACCGGCUAACUCUGUGCCAGCAGCCGCGGUAAUACAGAGGGUGCAAGCGUUAAUCGGAAUUACUGGGCGUAAAGCGCGCGUAGGUGGGUUGUUAAGUUGGAUGUGAAAUCCCCGGUCUCAACCUGGGAACUGCAUCCAAAACUGGCAAGCUAGAUGAUGGUAGAGGGUGGUGUAAUUUCCUGUGCAGCGGUGAAUGCGUAGAUUAGGUAGGAACACCAGUGCCAGAGGCUAUCAUCCUGACUGAU